AUUGAACGCUGGCGGCAUGCCUUGCACAUGCAAGUCGAACGGUAACGGGCCUUCGGGUGCCGACGAGUGGCGAACGGGUGAGUAAUACAUCGGAACGUGCCCGAUCGUGGGGGAUAACGAGGCGAAAGCUUUGCUAAUACCGCAUACGAUCUACGGAUGAAAGCAGGGGACCGCAAGGCCUUGCGCGGACGGAGCGGCCGAUGGCAGAUUAGGUAGUUGGUGGGAUAAAAGCUUACCAAGCCGACGAUCUGUAGCUGGUCUGAGAGGAUGAUCAGCCACACUGGGACUGAGACACGGCCCAGACUCCUACGGGAGGCAGCAGUGGGGAAUUUUGGACAAUGGGCGCAAGCCUGAUCCAGCCAUGCCGCGUGCAGGAUGAAGGCCUUCGGGUUGUAAACUGCUUUUGUACGGAACGAAAAGCCUUCUUUUAAUACAGGAGGGUCAUGACGGUACCGGAAGAAUAAGCACCGGCUAACUACGUG
rnacentral:rRNA from 1 species